GAUGAACGCUGGCGGCGUGCUUAACACAUGCAAGUCGAACGGAAAGGCUCCUGCUUGCAGGGGUACUCGAGUGGCGAACGGGUGAGUAACACGUGUGUGAUCUGCCCUGCACUUCGGGAUAAGCCUGGGAAACUGGGUCUAAUACCGGAUAGGACGAUGGUUUGGACGCCAUUGUGGAAAGAUUUUCGGUGUGGGCUGAGCUCGCGGCCUAUCGGCCUGUUGGUGCGGUAAUGGCCUACCAACCCGUCGACGGGAUGCCGGCUUGAGAGGGUGCACGACCGCAAUGGAACUGAAUAGCGGCACAGGCUGCGACGGUAGGCAAACGUGCGGAAUAGUGACCAAUCAACGCAAACCUAAUGCAGGGAGGCGGCGGGGUGGAUGACGCCGUUCGGGUUGAAAACUCCAUUCGCUAGGAACGAAGCGUAUUGUGACGGUACCUAGAGAAAAAGCAACGGCUAACUACGUG
rnacentral:rRNA from 1 species